rnacentral:lncRNA from 1 species
GACCAGAAUUGAGCCACAUGCUUGUGCUCCAGAUACUUGAGACCUCUCGCCUUCGUCGUCCAGGUUGGUGCUGUGGCACUUUCACUGUCCCUGCUGUGGCUCUGAACCAGUGGCAUGAUGGAAGCAACAAGGUUUCACCUUGCACGUGGCUCACUUCUCUGGCGUUUCUCGCAGGCCCAACACUAGCACGACCUUAGGCUAAAAUGAUUACACAAGAGCGACUUCUCUCCCAUGUCGUCAUUGCUGGUCUGCAUGGAUAUAAACCACCAUGAGGACCCUUCUUGAAAGGCACAUGUGUCAGGUGCUUUAUAUGUAUGAUCACCUGGAAUCCUUACAGGGACCAUGAAGAGUUCCUGUUUCACAGAAGAAAAUAAAUCAGGAAGAAAGAGGCUGUGACUUGUCCAAGGCAAGGAAGUUACCCCCACCCUGUCGAUGGAAUUAUGCUGCUUCUUGUGAGUCCUCCUGUGCAGUCAGGUCAAAGGUUGGCUGGCCCAGGGGAGAGGGGGAUGAAGGAGGGGGAGUAUCGUCGGGGGAGGAAGGUCUUCUGCCUGCAAGCUGUGUGACCUAACACACCCUAUCAUAUUGAGGCAGAAUAUUAACUCAGGUAGUCAGUGUAGGAGCAUGGGCUUCAAUGCCUUCUUUGACAUGGUCAUUGAUGAACAUUUGUGGCUUAAGGGCUCCAGGGAGUAACAUCCCCACAGGCCUUGUCUGCUAUAGAGAGUGUACCUAUGCCCAGGUGUACAUCAAUCUCUAACCCCCUGUGACUCAGUUUAUGGGAAGAAAAGGACAAAGAAACCAUGAGACUUAUGGGACAUUUCCACCCCUAAGACCCUACUGAACAAGGACUGAUAUGGGUAACUGAAUAUGGCCAGUGGGAGAAGACCACAUCUCUCUGGACCCCACAUUGGUACCCUCCCCCCAACUUUAAGGAAUAAAACCCCCUAUAGGACAAUAGAGAAAGGGGGGGCUCUUCUCCCCCCUCCCAGUAACCCUGGGAGUUUUCUGCUUUCCUUUAGUAAAGACUUUGCUUG